AUAGACAAUUUUGUCCUACAAUAUGCACUUUUCUUAUCUAUUGGGUUCGAAUCCAAAGAUUAAAAUUCAGGCAUAACGCGUUGAAGCAUCUAGUUAUGACUCUGUACAUUGUCCUUUUAUUAGGGCCAAUUUUCGCAUCAGUUUCCAUGGCAAAACUAGGAUUAUCAACUGAACCGCUCGGAUCAUGUUCCGCAAACGGGGAGAUGUACAUGGAAGGCGAGACUGUUUUCGAAGAUCCAAACAAAUGUCACGACCUCGUUUGCGUCCGAGGCACAAUCGUUCAUCUAGACAAUCCAUGCCUCAUGGAACCAUGCUCAGGAAUCGUUGAGCAUGUGCACGGGCAAUGCUGUCCGCUGUGCCAACCUUCAACGUCGACCCUUUCUGGACCCCUCCCGCCGGUUGGGAAAUAAGGGCGAAAUUGCUGAGCACAACUGUGUGUAAAAUUAAACUAACAUUAUAUACAGGGAUAUAAUACAUUUGUAAUAGUA